GGCGGGCCUCCCGCCGCCGCUAAUAUAGGCGCAGUCCGGGGCGCCAGUGGCGCUUAUUAGGGUGCUGCUCUUUCGUCCCGACGGGUGCUUUCCCUGGGUAACGCAGGUGAGCCGCUGGGGCGGGCAGGGACGGGGGUGCUGCUCCCGAGGUACCUCCGCCGCCUCCGCCGCCGCUGCUGCUGCUACUCUCGGUCUCCGUCGGUCGCGGCUUCCCCGAUAAAGCGCCUCGUUCCUCUCUCAGGCUCGUCCCGGAGAGAGGCAUUUUACCGAUCUCGCUACUGCCAUGGCCUCAGUUCCUUCAGCCGGCUGCCUCUUGGCCAAGAACCAGUACUACAGAAACGGACAGAACUCAGAGUCCAGUGUUUCUUCCAGCUCCUCCUGGUGUUCAGAUGCUGUGAUUGUUGCAGACCAGGACAAAGCAUUUAAUGGGUUACCUGAGUUAAUUGAUAAAAGUUGGUGGAUAAAAAACUUUUUCCAUAAUGAACCAUCUCCACCAACUGUUGGCAGAAAAACACUGUCAGCAGGCAGUACUAACCGUUGAAUGGGACAGCAUGUUGGCUUCACUGACUGAGAUACUACAUACAGACUUGUUUUUCAAAGAGGCCUGGGAUCUUCCUAAUGUCUGUGUUCAGCUGCAAGAAGAAAACCAAACCUUUGGGAGAGUGGAUAAGCGUAUCUUCAAAAGAUUUGUCAGUAGCUUAAAUGUCAUUGCUUAAUGGACAUGUCCAUGGCUUACAUCGCUCAUUACAGAGUUCCUGUAAUUUGAGAUGUCUUUCUAAUGGAAGUUACCAGUAUUAAAUAUCCUGAUGACUUGGAGUUAGAGAAAAAUGGCAGUAAGGUAUUGUAAGUUUAGGAGAAGCAUGUGUAUUGAAUGACUUUACAAUAGGUGAUACUCUUCCGUUUUACCUUUAAGAUAUCAGCCUUAUAUGCUGAUAGUCACAUGGAUGUAAACAAAAUUCAGGUAUGUAGUCCAGAGUAGGAAACUGCUAUAUGGUACUUGUUUUAUAUCAAGUAUUAGUUUCAUCUCUUUCUUUGAGCAGAGUGCAUAGAUCCCAAACUCAGAUACCCAGAUACAACUUUCAUUCAUACCUGUAUUUGAGGACAGAAUAGGAGAGGGAGAGAGAGAAGAAAUCAGUAAUCUUAAUGGACACUGACAUCUUCCAAGCAGAAGAGCAACCUUAAUCAGAGUUGAUACUUCUAAUGUUGUUUUAGAUUAUCCUUACCUGCUCUGCUGUAGCUUUAAAGUGCUACUUGUUCUCCAGUGACCAUUAAUAUUCACUGCUGCCUAUCAGCUUUCUGUGCUAGAUCUGGCAAAGUAUUCAACUCAAAGUAAUAACAUUAGUGUUAUUAACCAAGUCUAUCUUUGUCAUGAUUCAUGCUCUUGAAAGAUACAGUAGCAUAGCUUCAUUUACUCUUCAGUAUUGCAAAGCAGUACAUCAGAUUGUUUAUUCUACCAGGAAUGACUGAAAUACAUGAGAGGUCAUAGAAAAUAACAGGCUUUUCGCUGGAGGAUAUAAUUUCUGUAAAUAAUCUCUGCAAGUUUUUGACGUACUGUCCCUAAACUUACCUGACCUUUGUCCAUCACUGGAUGAAUUAACAAUAGUAAACAUUAGUAUAGCCAACCUGUUUCUUUAUAGGUUAAUGUUUGUCAUGGUUAUGCAUAACUUAAGUGUCUCAAGUGACUACUUCGGGAAGCUUACAGUUUUGAUGGAGACAAUAAAUGUAUGACACAUGACA
rnacentral:lncRNA from 14 species